UAAAAGCCUACCAAGCCUAAGAUCCUUAGCUGUUCUGAGAGGUUGAACAGCCACACUGGGACUGAGACAAGGCCCAGGCUCCAUUUGGAGCCAGCAGUGAGGAAUUUUGGACAAUGAGCGAAAGCUUGAUCCAGCAAUACUACAUGAGUGAAGAAGGCUUUCAAGUUGUAACACUCCUUGGUUGAGGAGGAUAAUGACAGUACUCAACAAAAUAGCCCCGGCUAACUUCGUGCCAGCAGCCGCGGUAAGACGAAGGGGGCGAGCGUUAUCCGGAAUGACUGGGCGUAAAGGGUCCGUAGGCAGCAUUUUUUGUUGGAAGUUAAAUAAAAAAGCUUAACUUUUUUCCGCUUCUAAAACGUAAAUGCUUUGAGUUUGAUAGAAGAUAGCAGAAUUUCACAAGGAGGGGUGAUAUCCAGAGAUCUGUGAAGGAAUAUCAGAUGCGAAGGCGGCUAUCUAGAUCAACACUGACGUUGAGGGACGAAAGCAUGGGGAGCAAACAGGAUUAGAUACCCUGGUAGUCCAUGCCCUAAAAGAUGAGUGUUCGUGCUUAGAGAACUUUAGGCACUUAGUUAACACGUUAAACACUCCGCCUGGGGAGUACGAUCGCAAGGUUGGAACUCAAAGGAAUUGACGGGGGCCUAUACAAGUGGUGGAGCAUGUGGUUUAAUGCGAUAAUACGCGCGAAACCUUACCAGUUCUUGACAUAAAAAAGAAAAAGUUUGAAAAAGCAAUUUUAAGGAUUUUUACAGGUGCUGCAUGGCUGUCGUAAGCUCGUGUCGUGAGAUGUUAGGUUAACUCCUUUUAACGGGCGAAACCCCUUUUUUUCGUUGCUACUUAAUUUUAUUUUUAAAGCACUCUAAAAAAACUGCUCCCUUUUUUUAAUUCGGAGAGGAAGGUGGGGAUGACGUCAAGUCCUUAUGGCCCUUAUGAACUGGGCUACACACGUGCUACAAUGGUAAAGACAAUAAGAAGUGAUAGGGUAACCUAAAACCAAUCUUUAAACUUUAUCAAAGUUCGGAUUGUGGACUGCAACUCGUCCAUAUGAAGGUGGAAUCACUAGUAAUCGCACAUCAGCAUGUUGCGGUGAAUUUGUACCUAGGCCUUGUACACACCGCCCGUCACGUGCCGGGAGUUGGC
rnacentral:rRNA from 1 species